rnacentral:tRNA from 1 species
UCCCUGAUGGCCCAGUGGUUGAGGGCUCAGCAUUGUCACUGCUGUGGUGUGGGUUUGAUCCCUGGCCCAGGAA